UGGGGAAUAUUGCACAAUGGGCGCAAGCCUGAUGCAGCAACGCCGCGUGAACGAUGAAGGUCUUCGGACCGUAAAGUUCUGUUGCAGGGGAAGAUAAUGACGGUACCCUGUGAGGAAGCCCCGGCUAACUACGUGCCAGCAGCCGCGGUAAUACGUAGGGGGCUAGCGUUAUCCGGAUUUACUGGGCGUAAAGGGUGCGUAGGUGGUCUUUCAAGUCGGUGGUUAAAGGCUACGGCUCAACCGUAGUUAGCCUCCGAAACUGGAAUACUUGAGUGCAGGAGAGGAAAGUGGAAUUCCCAGUGUAGCGGUGAAAUGCGUAGAUAUUGGGAGGAACACCAGUAGCGAAGGCGGCUUUCUGGACUGCAACUGACACUGAGGCACGAAAGCGUGGGUAGCAAACAGG
rnacentral:rRNA from 1 species